rnacentral:lncRNA from 1 species
CAGGGGAAGAAGGCACUCAACAAGAAGUCGCACCACCAUCGUCGGUCCAUGGUCGACCACAACAGUCAACAGCCACCUAUAGGAGGUCUAACCUCAUCACCUCGACAGGCCUUACUGGCUACCGAUUUUGACACGGGAAGGAAAUCUUGCUGCGGACUGCCUGUUAGACUGGAGUGCUGCUCCUCUUGACUCUCACGGUGGCAGUGCCGUCUACUAGCUGUUGCGAUCUGCGUCUGCCCUUUGCAGCUUUGCUGUGGGAGUGGCGGUAGAGGUAGUGCCUAGUGGACCAAUUUUGGGGAAUAGUCUGGGUUACUGGGUAUAUGGGGAAAGCUCAUUUGGGCUUUUUUAAUUGGGCCUAAUUUAAAAAAACAAAAUCCAACGAAAUUUGAAAUUGUAGUGUCGACCUAACACCCAAGCCAACAAGCAACGACCAACUAAAUCGAAAAAAGAAACCACUCCCAACGGUGGUGGUUCCGGCAAAGCCCUAGCUGGCCAAUAGCUACAUCCACCACUGGUAACAGGGAGCAAAUAGGGAAAAAAAAUACAAGAUUUACAAUUAGGCAGUUUCACCAUUCGAAUUGUAAUCUGGAGUCCUCAACAACGGAUAGAGCCAAGUCCCAUAGAAUGAGGUGCCAGAGAGAGUGAGAGCCCUUUGUGCUUUGAUCGUAUCACACCACAAGGCACAGUCGAUGAGUCAGGUUAUUUGGGAAUUCAACUCUUAUUUUUUGUCCCAAAAACCAGUUGAGGACAACAGCACCUUCUAAAGCUACUGAACUAACUUACUAUUCAGUACUACUAAAGGCAAAAAGGAC